rnacentral:rRNA from 1 species
GACGUAGGGUGCGAGCGUUGUUCGGAUUUAUUGGGCGUAAAGAGCUCGUAGGCGGCUCGUCGCGUCGACCGUGAAAACCCGCGGCUUAACUGCGGGCUUGCGGUUGAUACGGGCGGGCUAGAGUUCGGUAGGGGAGACUGGAAUUCCUGGUGUAGCGGUGAAAUGCGCAGAUAUCAGGAGGAACACCGGUGGCGAAGGCGGGUCUCUGGGCCGAUACUGACGCUGAGGAGCGAAAGCGUGGGGAGCGAACAGG